rnacentral:rRNA from 1 species
CUGAUCCAGCGACGCCGCGUGCACGAAGAAGGCCUUCGGGUUGUAAAGUGCUUUUGCUGAAGAAAAAUUUCUGAUUGUACUCAGCGAAUAAGAGGUUGCUAACUCUGUGCCAGCAGCAGCGGUAAUACAGAGACCUCAAGCGUUAUCCGGAAUCAUUGGGCGUAAAGCGUACCGAUAGGUGGUUUUAUAAGUUUUGCCUAAAAUACCGAAGCUCAACUUCGGCCUUGGGUAAAAUACUGUAAAACUAGAGGGGCAAAGAGGUGCUUGGAACGAAUGGUGUAGUAGUGAAAUGCGUUGAUAUCAUUCGGAACACCGAAAGCGAAGGCAGAGCACUGGGUGCCACCUGACACUGCUAGGACGAGAGCGUGGGUAGCGAAUGGGAUUAGAUACCCCAGUAGUCCACGCUGUAAACGAUGAAUACUAGGCAUGCGCGAGUAUCGACCCUCGUGCGAGCCGUAACUAACGCGUUAAGUAUUCCGCCUGGGGAGUACGGUCGCAAGACUA